rnacentral:rRNA from 1 species
UACGGAGGGUGCAAGCGUUGUUCGGAAUUACUGGGCGUAAAGGGCGCGUAGGCGGUAAUGUAAGUCAGAUGUGAAAUCCUUCGGCUCAACCGGAGAACUGCAUCUGAAACUGCAUAACUAGAGUACAGAAGAGGGAAACGGAAUUCCCGGUGUAGAGGUGAAAUUCGUAGAUAUCGGGAGGAACACCAGUGGCGAAGGCGGUUUCCUGGUCUGAUACUGACGCUGAGGCGCGAAAGCGUGGGGAGCAAACAGG